rnacentral:rRNA from 1 species
CCCMGCGURGCUUUUAACGGGRAARCCSUUMCCAUCCUUUGACAUGGCGUGUUACCCAGAGAGAUUUGGGGUCCACUUCGGUGGCGCGCACACAGGUGCKGCAUGGCYGUCGUCAGCUCGUGUCGUGWGAUGKUGGGUUAAGUCCCGCAACGAGCGCAACCCACGUCCUUAGUUSCCAUCAUUCAGUUGGGCACUCUAGGGAGACUGCCSGUGAUAASCCGCGAGGAAGGUGUGGAUGACGUCAAGUCCUCAUGGCCCUUMCGGGAUGGGCUACMCACGUGCUACAAUGGCGGUGACAGUGGGACGCGAAGGAGCGAUCUGGAG